UACAGAGGGUGCGAGCGUUGUCCGGAAUCACUGGGCGUAAAGGGCGCGUAGGCGGCCCGAUAAGUAGGGGGUGAAAUCUUGCGGCUUAACCGCAAGGCUGCCUUCUAAACUGUCGGGCUGGAGCACGGUAGAGGCAGAUGGAAUUCCCGGUGUAGCGGUGGAAUGCGUAGAGAUCGGGAAGGACACCAGUGGCGAAGGCGGUCUGCUGGGCCAGUACUGACGCUGAGGCGCGACAGCGUGGGGAGCAAACAGG
rnacentral:rRNA from 1 species